GACGAACGCUGGCGGCGUGCCUAACACAUGCAAGUCGAGCGGAGACAUUAGCAAUAGUGUCUUAGCGGCGGACGGGUGAGUAACGCGUGGGCAACCUGCCUUCCACAGGGGGAUAACACUGGGAAACUAGUGCUAAUACCGCAUAACGUACCGAUUGGGCAUCUGAUUGGUACCAAAGGAGCAAUCCGGUGGAAGAUGGGCCCGCGUCCGAUUAGCUGGUUGGCGGGGUAGAAGCCCACCAAGGCGACGAUCGGUAGCCGAACUGAGAGGUUGAUCGGCCACAUUGGGACUGAGAUACGGCCCAGACUCCUACGGGAGGCAGCAGUGGGGAAUAUUGCGCAAUGGGGGGAACCCUGACGCAGCAACGCCGCGUGAAGGAUGAAGGUUUUCGGAUUGUAAACUUCUUUGAUGAGGGACGAAAAAUGACGGUACCUCAAAAACAAGCCACGGCUAACUACGUG
rnacentral:rRNA from 1 species